AGCAUCUACAGUAUAUAGCACAUCUGUUGUCCUAUGACAGCAAUAAGAGAUAAUGAUAUGAUCAAAUGUCAUUGAUUUCAGUCUUUUCUCUUUCAUGACUGUUGGGUACAUUACUAUUAAUUCAACUCAUUGUUUUGAAAGGUGAUGAAAUGGAUGGAAGAAAACCACCAGCCUGCCCAUGUGAAAAUAUGAGAACUGGGAAUUCAUUUUGGAAUAUUGUUGGAGUCUGGCGUAUCAUCUAGAUUUUCCAUUUGACCAUCUGUUUCUGCCAACU
rnacentral:lncRNA from 1 species